GAUAUUUACAUACUGACACCCAUUGAAGAUCAUUAAUAGACUAAAUGGUGAGUGUCGGCGGCUCGGGGUUUUGCGCACAAUUGGCGUGCGCUGCUGAAAAUGGCAUCUCCCCCAUGCGCGGCCCCUGCUUUACCUAGUAGCGUGACCAUGAAGCAAUGCACGAGCAGAGAGAUCUUAACAUGCACAGAGUCAGUCUGGCUCCUCGAGACGCCUGCUCAUCUCGCCAGCAGGAGCACGUACGGCGUGCACUUAAAGAAGACAACAUCUGAUUCAAGCCGGCCAGAUGUUUCAUUCCGUCGCGCUGCGCUUUAUUCGUGGCGAGAUACACUUCAUGCUGAUAGAUAAAGAAAAACCCCAAGCACGUUGAAAAACUCGAACAAGAAGAAUCAUUGUCUACAAUUUCGAGAUGCUCUCAGAGGAAGUAAACAAGCAGACAUGCAGACGUGAAAUUAAGAAGCCACUUCUUUCCCCCUCUUCAUGUGACUGCAGAGGCAUAUGACUUCCAUAACUUCAUCGCUCAUUAAGCGCUGAUGGCAGGACACAAUUGAGUGAGUGUUUGUGGAACUUGCCCCAGAUAUUCAGGUCUCAGUGCCCGGCUCUGGCUGUUGGGUAGAUCUUCUCUUGUUUCAGAUAGCUUCACCCUGCCUGACAACAGAGCGUGAGGAACUUCACAUGAGAGUCCCAUGUAAGGAGUCAGCAAUGGGAUACAAAGGCCAGUUAUGUCCGUUUAAAUCCCUUAACAAGCACCGCAACAGACAAAAGAUAGAGAUACCAUGCCGGUAUUAUUAAAUUACUACAUCUACACAUGAGCCGGCAAUUGAGUUACUUUUAUAGAUGUGUGCAGUCAGUGGGAUAGCCAUGAAAAAAGCACUCUUCUUUGUUUAUUAAUGAUUGGGUAAAUAGCAGAUUUGGCCAGUUUUGUUGAAAAGAGCUUUUCAAAAAAUAUAUUGAUAGAUGUAUAGUUCACCUAAAUAAUUCUUAAUGUGUAUUUUUUAUUUUGUAUUUUAUUCUAAAGUGUCAUUCGCUUGACUUUUUAUGAAUCACAAAGGACCGCUGCUGGAAACACAGAACAUUCCAUUAAUGUUACCAUUUGGCUAUUUUUGGGAAUGUCCUCUGUGGUGUAACCUUAAAGAUUUUUUU
rnacentral:lncRNA from 1 species